UGGGGAAUAUUGGACAAUGGGCGCAAGCCUGAUCCAGCCAUGCCGCGUGAGUGAUGAAGGCCUUAGGGUUGUAAAGCUCUUUUGUCCGGGACGAUAAUGACGGUACCGGAAGAAUAAGCCCCGGCUGACUUCGUGCCAGCAGCCGCGGUAAUACGAAGGGGGCUAGCGUUGCUCGGAAUCACUGGGCGUAAAGGGCGCGUAGGCGGCCAUUCAAGUCGGGGGUGAAAGCCUGUGGCUCAACCACAGAAUUGCCUUCGAUACUGUUUGGCUUGAGUAUGGUAGAGGUCAGUGGAACUGCGAGUGUAGAGGUGAAAUUCGUAGAUAUUCGCAAGAACACCAGUGGCGAAGGCGGCUGACUGGACCAUUACUGACGCUGAGGCGCGAAAGCGUGGGGAGCAAACAGG
rnacentral:rRNA from 1 species